CGAGGGUCGGCGUUAGGAAUGGCGCUGGGAGCGGCGCGAGGGCCCCUUGCUGCUGCCGGCGGCUCCUGUCAGCUGCUGGUUUAAAGUCCAGCGGGUCCUCGAACUUCCUGAACUCGAGACGCUGAUGGGCCCUCCAGCAUCCCGAUUCCCUGCCAAUGCGGUGAACAAGAAACACAGGGAACCAGCAAAAGGCAUGUCCUGGAUGCUGACGCUGUUUUGACGUUCCCUUUCCAAAGUACAGAUCCAUUGUUGCACAGCUGGCCUACACGUCUGCAGUUUGCAAAUCACCAUAUUUGAUCAUCACCUCAAGG